UAUUCCUAAAAUCUGCUGCUUUCUAUUACCGAAGGAAAGCUCAGUUUUGCUUCCGUUUUGGUUCUCCCGAUUUCAUCUGCCCUGUUUUACCAUCCCAACCCGAAAGGCACCUCCACCCUCUCCCUCCCAACAUCAAACAGAACCGCCCCUUACAUUUUCCUUCCUUCUUUUGUUCCUGAAGGUAAUUGUAAAAAAAAUUGGAGGACCUGCCACACAAGUUCAUCGCUUUCGAGCAGGAACUAGGGCUUCAAGAGAUUCGAAAAUACCAGCUUCAUCAGAGAAGCAUUACUUGAGGAGAGGAUCACUACUCAGGCAUUAGCUGGUAAACGUCUAAUUUAGGUAUUAAUAACAAUUUUUUUGCUUGUUCCAUCACAAGCUGCAUUGCUUCUUUUAAGGUCAAUUAGAUUUAGCUAUGUCUUGGCAGCAAGUUAAUAUCAUUUGACAAAAGGCUUAGUCGGGGCACUGCAUUUUAUCAUUAAGAAUAUUUAAAUAGUUUGGUUGAUUUGAAGUGUUCUUUCUCAAUCUUGAAUGUUAAUAGUUGUUCUGUAACCAAGGACUACUGUUAAGUACUGGGUUGUACAGCUUGAUUCUAUGAACAUAGAGUAACCAUUGACUUCAUUGGUGUGUGGAAAAUGGAUCUCGGAAAUUUUGUUGCUAACAUUCAAUUUCAUGUGCUUUUGUUACAAA